UACGUAUGGUGCAAGCGUUAUCCGGAAUUAUUGGGCGUAAAGAGUGCGUAGGUGGUUACCUAAGCGCAAGGUUUAAACUUGAGGCUCAACCUCAUUCUGCCUUGCGAACUGGGCUACUUGAGUGCAGGAGGGGAAAGCGGAAUUCCUAGUGUAGCGGUGAAAUGCGUAGAUAUUAGGAAGAACACCGGUGGCGAAGGCGGCUUUCUGGACUGUAACUGACACUGAGGCACGAAAGCGUGGGGAGCAAACAGGAUUAGAUACCCUGGUAGUCCCU
rnacentral:rRNA from 1 species